GGAUGCGAUCAUACCAGCACUAAAACACCGGAUCCCAUCAGAACUCCGGAGUUAAGCGUGCUUGGGCAAUAGUAGUACUAGUUAAGCGUGCUUGGGCAAUAGUAGUACUAGGAUGGGUGACCUCCUGGGAAGUCCUCGUGUUGCAUUCC
rfam:Triticum aestivum genome assembly, contig: Triticum_aestivum_CS42_TGACv1_scaffold_056093_1BS